rnacentral:rRNA from 1 species
UACGUAGGGGGCAAGCGUUGUCCGGAUUUAUUGGGCGUAAAGAGCGUGUAGGCGGCCAGACAGGUCAGCUGUGAAAACUCGAGGCUCAACCUCGAGACGUCGGUUGAAACCGUCUGGCUAGAGUCCGGAAGAGGAGAGUGGAAUUCCCGGUGUAGCGGUGAAAUGCGCAGAUAUCGGGAAGAACACGCGUGGCGAAGGCGGCUCGGUGGGACGGUACUGACGCUGAGACGCGAAAGCGUGGGGAGCGAACAGG